AUGAUUAUCAACGCUUGUGCCCAAAAUCGCCUAGCACACCCAGUCUCGCCCUCCCUACCCUGCCCCGUCCUUCAGUAUGUAGAUGACAUGCUUAUCAUCAUCAAAGCCGAUCCGCAAGCUGUAGCCAACCUCAAAAAAAUUCUUGAUGACUUCUCCCUUGCUACUAGCCUGUCGAUUAACUUCCAAAAAACGAUGAUUGUCCCCAUGAACGUUGACCCACAACUCGCUGCUGAUAUGGAGGCUACUUUAGGGGCGACCACUGCCGCCUUUCCUCAGAAAUACCUUGGUCUUCCCCUCUCCCCUCAUAAACUACCCCGCUUGGCCCUUCAGCCGCUCAUUGACCGCUGUGACACAUACCUUGCAGGUUGGCGGUGGUCGCCAUGUCCUUAUGUCGGCCGUUCUAGAUAG
rnacentral:rRNA from 1 species